AAUGCUGCAUUGGAUUGACUUU
rnacentral:siRNA from 1 species